UACGAAGGGUGCAAGCGUUAAUCGGAAUUACUGGGCGUAAAGGGCGCGUAGGCGGCCACCGCAAGUCGACUGUGAAAUCUCCGGGCUUAACCCGGAAAGGUCAGCCGAUACUGCGGGGCUAGAGUGCAGAAGGGGCAACUGGAAUUCUCGGUGUAGCGGUGAAAUGCGUAGAUAUCGAGAGGAACACCUGCGGCGAAGGCGGGUUGCUGGGCUGACACUGACGCUGAGGCGCGAAAGCUAGGGGAGCGAACGGG
rnacentral:rRNA from 1 species